CUACGGAGGAUGCAAGCGUUAUCCGGAUUUAUUGGGGUUAAAGGGUGCGUAGGCGGGACUGUAAGUCAGGGGUGAAAUACUGCAGCUUAACUGUAGCAUUGGCUUUGAAACUGCCGUUCUUGAGUCCAGUUGAGGCAGGCGGAAUGAGGUGUGUAGCUGUGAAAUGCAUAGAUAUACCACAGAACGCCGAUUGCGAAGGCAGCUUACUAAGCUGGUACUGACGCUGAGGCACGAAAGCGUGGGGAUCAAACAGGAUUAGAUACCCUGGUAGUCCACGCUGUAAACGAUGAUUACUGGUUGUUAGCGAUAUAUAGCUAGUGACUGAGCGAAAGCAUUAAGUAAUCCACCUGGGGAGUACGGCGGCAACGAUGAAACUCAAAUGAAUUGACGGGG
rnacentral:rRNA from 1 species